GUCAGUUUGGCCGAGUGGUUAAGGCGAUAGACUUGAAUCUGUUAGGAUUAAAGAUAUCUAUUGGGCUCUGCCCGCGUCGGUUCAAAUCCGGCAGCUGACG
rnacentral:tRNA from 1 species